AACGAACGCUGGCGGCAUGCCUAACACAUGCAAGUCGAACGAGAUCUUCGGGUCGAGUGGCGCACGGGUGCGUAACGUGUGGGAAUCUGCUCUUUGGUUCGGAAUAGCAGUUGGAAACGACUGCUAAUACCGGAUGAUGACGAAAGUCCAAAGAUUUAUCGCCAGAGGAUGAGCCCGCGUAGGAUUAGCUAGUUGGUGUGGUAAAGGCGCACCAAGGCGACGAUCCUUAGCUGGUCUGAGAGGAUGAUCAGCCACACUGGGACUGAGACACGGCCCAGACUCCUACGGGAGGCAGCAGUGGGGAAUAUUGGACAAUGGGCGAAAGCCUGAUCCAGCAAUGCCGCGUGAGUGAUGAAGGCCUUAGGGUUGUAAAGCUCUUUUACCCGGGAUGAUAAUGACAGUACCGGGAGAAUAAGCUCCGGCUAACUCCGUGCCAGCCGCCGCCGUAA
rnacentral:rRNA from 1 species